rfam:Parcubacteria bacterium 32_520 MPJ_scaffold_508, whole genome shotgun sequence.
GCGCAUGUAGCUCAGAUGGUCAGAGCACAGCUCUUAUAAAGCUGGGGUCGAUGGUUCGAAUCCAUCCAUGCGCA